GUGCUUGCUUCGGUGGCACAUACACUAAAAUUAGAACAAGACAGAGAAUAUUAGCAUGGUUCCUGUGCAAAGAUAUAUUUUUACAUAGUUACUAUUUUAUU
rnacentral:snRNA from 1 species